GGGUGAGUAACACGUAUGGAACCUGCCCGUAGCAGGGGGAUAAGCGGAAGAAAUUCCGUCUAAUACCGCGUAAUAACUCCGAGAGGCAUCUCCUGGGGUUUAAAGGGUAACACCGGCUACGGAUGGCCAUGCGGCGCAUUAGCUAGUUGGCGGGGUAACGGCCCACCAAGGCGACGAUGCGUAGGGGUUCUGAGAGGAAGGUCCCCCACACUGGUACUGAGACACGGACCAGACUCCUACGGGAGGCAGCAGUGAGGAAUAUUGGUCAAUGGGCGCGAGCCUGAACCAGCCAAGUCGCGUGAGGGAAGACGGUCCUAUGGAUUGUAAACCUCUUUUGUCGGGGAGCAAAAGACGCCACGCGUGGCGUUCCGAGAGUACCCGAAGAAAAAGCAUCGGCUAACUCCGUGCCAGCAGCCGCGGUAAUACGGAGGAUGCGAGCGUUAUCCGGAUUUAUUGGGUUUAAAGGGUGCGCAGGCGGAAGAUCAAGUCAGCGGUAAAAUUGAGAGGCUCAACCUCUUCGAGCCGUUGAAACUGGUUUUCUUGAGUGAGCGAGAAGUAUGCGGAAUGCGUGGUGUAGCGGUGAAAUGCAUAGAUAUCACGCAGAACUCCGAUUGCGAAGGCAGCAUACCGGCGCUCAACUGACGCUCAUGCACGAAAGUGUGGGUAUCGAACAGGAUUAGAUACCCUGGUAGUCCACACAGUAAACGAU
rnacentral:rRNA from 1 species